AGAGUUUGAUCCUGGCUCAGGACGAACGCUGGCGGCGUGCCUAAUACAUGCAAGUCGAGCGGACCUUUCGGGGUCAGCGGCGGACGGGUGAGUAACACGUGGGCAAUCUGCCCGAUACUCUGGGAUAACGCUUGGAAACGAGUGCUAAUACCGGAUGGUCUUCUUGGUCGCAUGGCCGAGAAGGAAAAGACGCGUUCGCGUCGGUGUCGGAUGAGCCCGCGGCGCAUUAGCUAGUUGGUGAGGUAACGGCCCACCAAGGCGACGAUGCGUAGCCGACCUGAGAGGGUGACCGGCCACACUGGGACUGAGACACGGCCCAGACUCCUACGGGAGGCAGCAGUAGGGAAUCUUCCACAAUGGGCGAAAGCCUGAUGGAGCAACGCCGCGUGAGUGAUGAAGGCCUUCGGGUUGUAAAACUCUGUCAUUCGGGACGAACCGGAGUCUGAGGAAAUGCAGACUCUCUGACGGUACCGGAGGAGGAAGCCCCGGCUAACUACGUGCCAGCAGCCGCGGUAAUACGUAGGGGGCAAGCGUUGUCCGGAUUCACUGGGCGUAAAGCGCGCGCAGGCGGUGAUGUAAGUCUGAGGUGAAAACCCGAAGCUCAACUUCGGGACUGCCUUGGAUACUGCGUCACUUGAGGAUAGGAGAGGCAAGGGGAAUUCCACGUGUAGCGGUGAAAUGCGUAGAGAUGUGGAGGAACACCUGUGGCGAAGGCGCCUUGCUGGCCUAUUUCUGACGCUGAGGCGCGAAAGCGUGGGGAGCAAACAGGAUUAGAUACCCUGGUAGUCAAGGGCG
rnacentral:rRNA from 1 species